rnacentral:lncRNA from 1 species
UAUCUUUUGACAUGCUUUCUUUAGCACCAAAGGUUUCUGUACAUGUGGAGGUGAGUCAUACUCAACAACAUGAUGGGUGGGCCCAACACUUCAUUAUGGCUCCUACUAAUCUCAGCUAUUGGAACAGUCUGCACAACUACAAAGAUCAACUUAAUAACAAUGAAUGACAUAGUAAAAACAUAUAAGUGGAGCCAACUGAACAGCACUAUUAACAAUGCCUCACACGAAGCCUGCAACACAACAACACUAAAUAUAGCAAGUUCCAGGAUAUCUAACACUGUGGAGACCCUUACUAACCAACUGUCUUGUGUGAGUGGCAAAAACCAAAGCCUUUCUGAAGAGAAGAUUGGAGGGCUGCAAUACAAUCUCAGACGGAUUAUGGAUUUGAAUUUAAAAGUCUUCAUAUAUUUGGUAUUCAAUACUUUCAUUAAGGACUUCCCUUACAAAUUAUUUUAAACCUAAGUAGAAAUUAA